UAAUGUGCCAACUGUUGAGUUUCCUUCCGCCUUCACAGGCGAGAGCGAAACAGCCAGAGAGCUAGAGCGAUACGAACGCCGCUCCAACUCUCUCUCUCUCUGUCCCACUCGCCCAGUGUUGGGCCCCGGCAUCUCGGGGGCUGCUUACAGGUGUUUAUGUCGCUUCGGCCCGCGCCCGACGGCAGCCGAGCGGGCUCCUCUGCUGGCGCUGCGGCUGCGGCGGCUCUCCCUUUAUAUUCCUUCGGCCGGGGCGCCUUCGCAUCAGUUUCGUUUGAACGGUCGACGAGGCGCGUUGUGCCCCGAAAAGCAGCGGAGCCAGCAGCCCACUUGAGAGCCAAAGCAAAACAAACCCACCAGACAUUUCUCAAAACAUUAAAAAAAAAAAAAAAAAAAAAAAAGAAAACAUUCAUAGAAUCCUGACACCUGACACGGGUCGGGAUAUCACACCUGUACCAUUGCGAAGUAGACUUCUUUUUUUGUUUGUGCUUCUAAGUGUUGUGCCACAAUUAACUCAUCCAACUAAGCCAAGUAACAAGUUAAUCAAAAGAUAUACUUAAGAAGACCUAAUUGGUGAACCAAACAGUCCAAGUUCGUGAACCGCCGGACGGGUAAGACUUCAAAAAUGUGCACGAAAUUCUCGCUGGACUCGAACGACUGAAAAGUGCGUUCCCCAGAAACAGUUUGGAGCGAAGCGCGCCAAACUUUCGAUUAAUUAAAAGUAAAACAAAAAGCCGACAGCCAACAGCCAACAGCCGACAAAGAACAACAAGGCUACUGGCGGACAACCACUACAAGAUCAAUACCAAUACCGAUAUCAACAAAAAUAACAACUCCUCGCCCCCCGGGAAAAUAGGAGCCACACACAACAGCCACAGCCACAUCCACAGACAGACACACCCAAAAAAAAAAUAAAUAGAAGGAAGAAACUUUGGCAGAAAAUCAACAUCGAAAUGGAAUUGGGCAUCAGAAUUGUCAAUCAGCAUUUAGCCAGCUACAACAACAGCAGCAGCAUCAGCUCUACAACCAGCAAUAGUAAAAAGCAAAGCGGCAACAGCAGCAGCAACGACGAAUUGCAACAGCAACAAAUAAAUCCAAAAAACAGUGACAACCAUAUAACAACGAUAACAGCAACCGCAGUAUCAUCGGAGGCAGCCACGACUGCCAUACAGACAAUAGACUACCCAUUAGCAGGAGCAGCACAAGCAAUAGUUGCUGCUCUGGCAACAGGAUUAACUAGCGCCCGAGCAGCAUUAGCGACAGCCAUUGCAACUGCCGUCCACAGUCGAGCUGCCCAAGACCGCAGCUACAGAAACCACUUGGCCAGAAGCAACUAAACCAGAGACAACAACAACCAGAUCAGCCAGACCAGCAACACCAGAACUAGAACCAGCAACAGCAAUCUGCAACAUGCAACGUCUACGCACCACCUUCACGCGUUCGCGCACUCCGACAGGAGCAGAAAUGAAGAUGCAGAACAGCCUCGAAGUUCCUAAGCAGGUGCGCUCGGCCUCCUUCGACGAAAUGCAACUGGAGGCGCAGCGGGCCUCCGCCCAGCUGCUGAAACAGCAAUCCUCCUCCUCCGCCUCGGCGGACGAGCGCUCCUCGGAGGCGGGCUUCCUGCAGGUACCGCUGGCCGCCCACCAGCAGCGGUCGCACAGUUUCGACUCGGCGGCUGCUUCCGUGGGCAGCGACGAUUCCGGCACCUUCUUGGAGGUGCCCCGCCGACUGAAGGCUCGACGCAGCUCCUCCACCAAGACGCCCCCACCCUGCAUCCACUGUCACUACCUGGAGGAGUACGAGCGCCGGAUGACGGCGGAGCAGCGCUACUUCAUCGACCACCGUGAGCUGAGUGCCUUGAGCAACACCAGUUCGGAGGUGAGCGAGGACGAGGAGGACGACGACGACGAGGCAGAGCAGGACGAGGAGGGCGAGGCAGCGACGGGCGAGACGGAGUCUUCGGAUUUGGCCUCGGGCCAGGAUGAGGCCAGGGCCCUCGAGUCGGAGCACGAACAUGACCCAGACGACGACGCAGCCGAGGAGAUGGACAUCCGGAUUGGCAACAUGAGCCUGGGCAGCAGCAUCGAGGAGUCCCGCGCCCGGCUGCCACGCCAGAUGCGGCGGCACACCAUCGGGAGCAGCUCCAUGACUUCCGGCACCUCCGAGGACGAGGGCCUGGAGAACUCGGACCACGGAUCGCCCCACUUUGGCAACACCCUGCUGCCGCCCCAGCCGGCCACACCCUGCGGCAUCACCUUCACCCUGAGCCCCACUAACGGCGACUAUCCCUCGCCGCCCCUCUUCCCCAUCGAUCCUUCCUCGCCGCCUCUCUCGCCCAGCCCCCUGGUGCCGCCGGCCAUCGCCUCGAUAUCCUGCACCGCCGCCGACUCUGAGGACGCCGGAGCGGCCAUGGGCCUCCCGGUACGUACCCGGCGGCGCUCCAUUUCCCGCCAGGAGGCGGUGUUCGUGGAGCCCACCGGCAACUCCCUGGAGAACGUGUCCCACGAGGAGGUGGACAACAACAAGUCGUCCGUAGAGACCGCCGACUCGAUGGACGAGGCCUCCACCAUGGCCACCUGCGGCUCGCCAACGAUCUCCCCGUUCUUCGCCGGCGGCACCACCGGCGGACCACCCAGCUCGAGCCUCCACAGCGCCUUCGUGGUGCGGGACAUCUACUUGACGGUGCCGGACCUGAAGCGGGACCGCGCCGCCUCCGUAGACUCGUGUUUCUCGAAGCUCUCGUCAGGGCCGAAGGCGGAGGAGUUGCAGCCGAGCGCCGACGGAUGCUUCCUGACCGUGCCGAACAUCAACGCCACCCGGUCGCGGUCCGUCGACAUCGUCCUGCCCACGGACGAGCAGGCCCGGUACAAGGCACUGGCCAUGACAGGAUCCACGGCCACCUACACAGAUGGCAGGCGUACCGCUUCGGCGAGCAACUCCCGGAGACCGAUACGGAUUGUGCCCGACUGGACGGAGAACGCGGUGCAGGGCGAGCACUACUGGAAGCCCACCUCCGCCUCCGGGGAUCUCUGCUGCCUGAACGAGGAGUGCAUUAAGAGCGGCCAGCGGAUGAAGUGCUCCGCCUGCCAGCUGAUCGCCCACCAGAACUGCAUCCCCCUCGUGAACGAGAAGUCGCAGCUGGCUUGCAAGCCGACCUACCGGGACGUGGGCAUCCGCCAGUACCGGGAGCAGACCACCACCCACCACCACUGGGUGCACCGCAAGCUGGAGAAGGGCAAGUGCAAGCAGUGCGGAAAGCAGGCAGUGCAGAGCAAGCUCUUCGGGUCGAAGGAGAUAGUGGCGUUGUCCUGCGCGUGGUGCCACGAGAUCUACCACAACAAGGAGUCCUGCUUCAACCAGGCCAAAAUUGGCGAGGAGUGUCGUCUGGGAAACUAUGCACCCAUCAUCGUGCCCCCCUCUUGGAUCGUCAAGCUGCCCAGCAAGGGAAACUUCAAGUCAUCGAUACGCGUCAGCAACAAGAACAAUGCCGCUGCGGGAUCCUCGGCCGGCGGAGGAGGAGGUGGAGGCGGGGCCGGAGGCAAGAGCAAGAAGCAGACCCAGCGCCGUCAGAAGGGCCAGAAGGACGAGAAGAAGGAGCCGCGCGCCUUCAUCGUGAAGCCGAUUCCCUCACCGGAGGUGAUCCCGGUCAUAGUCUUCAUUAAUCCCAAGUCCGGCGGCAACCAGGGCGUGAAGCUCCUGGGCAAGUUCCAGCACUUGCUCAAUCCGCGCCAGGUGUUCGAUCUCACCCAGGGUGGCCCCAAAAUGGGCCUGGACAUGUUCCGCAAGGCUCCCAACCUGAGGGUGCUGGCCUGCGGCGGCGACGGCACCGUCGGCUGGGUCCUGUCCGUCCUGGACCAGAUCCAUCCGCCCCUGCAGCCGGUUCCCGCCGUCGGAGUGCUGCCCCUCGGAACCGGCAAUGAUCUCGCUCGCGCCCUGGGAUGGGGCGGGGGAUACACGGACGAACCCAUUGGCAAGAUUCUGCGCGAGAUCGGGAUGUCGCAGUGCGUCCUCAUGGACCGCUGGCGCGUCAAGGUCACACCCAACGACGACGUUACCGACGACCACGUGGACAGGAGCAAGGCGAACGUGCCCCUGAACGUCAUCAACAACUACUUCUCGUUCGGCGUGGACGCCCACAUCGCCCUGGAGUUCCACGAGGCGCGUGAGGCGCACCCGGAGCGCUUCAACUCGCGGCUCCGCAACAAGAUGUACUACGGCCAGAUGGGCGGCAAGGACCUGAUCCUCCGCCAGUACCGCAACCUCUCCCAGUGGGUGACGCUCGAGUGCGACGGCCAGGACUUUACCGGAAAGCUGCGCGACGCCGGCUGCCACGCCGUCCUGUUCCUGAACAUACCCAGCUAUGGCGGCGGCACCCACCCGUGGAACGACUCCUUCGGCUCCACGAAGCCCUCCAUCGACGACGGGCUGAUGGAAGUGGUGGGCCUGACGACCUACCAGCUGCCCAUGCUGCAGGCGGGCAUGCACGGCACCUGCAUCUGCCAGUGCCGAAAGGCGCGCAUCAUCACCAAGCGCACCAUUCCGAUGCAGGUGGACGGGGAGGCCUGCCGGGUGAAGCCCUCGGUGAUCGAGAUCGAGCUGCUCAACAAGGCUCUGAUGCUCUCCAAGCGAAAGCACGGACGCGGCGACGUCCAAGUCAAUCCCCUGGAGAAGAUGCAGCUGCAUAUCCUGCGCGUCACCAUGCAGCAGUACGAGCAGUACCACUACGACAAGGAGAUGCUCCGCAAGCUGGCCAACAAGCUGGGCCAGAUCGAGAUCGAGUCCCAGUGCGACCUCGAGCAUGUCCGCAACAUGCUCAACACCAAGUUCGAGGAGUCGAUAUCCUAUCCGAAGGUCUCCCAGGACUGGUGCUUCAUAGACUCCUGCACCGCGGAGCACUACUUCCGCAUCGACCGCGCCCAGGAGCACUUGCACUACAUCUGCGACAUCGCCAUCGACGAGCUGUACAUCCUGGACCACGAGGCGGCCACGAUGCCCCAGACCCCGGACCAGGAGCGCUCCUUCGCGGCCUUCUCGCAGCGGCAGGCGCAGAACGAGCGCCGCCAGCUGGACCAGGCCCAGGGCCGCGGCCCCGGCAGCACGGGUAUGGACAUGGGCGCGGGUGCGGGCGCGGCUUUCAGACGGCUGGGGCUGGCCGGGUGCUGGCCCUCGGCGGGCAGCCAGCACCCGGAACCGGAGCCGUUGCAGGAGCGGCUGGAUGAGCUCCAGCAGCAGGUGGCCGAGCAGCUGCCCUACCUCGACAGGCGCAUGUUCCUGCACCUCCACUUCCGCAAGCACCGUGUCGAGAUCUGAACCUCCCCCCACCUCGAAUCCCAGUCCCAGUCCCCGAACUAACCCCAUUCGAGAGGGCGGUGCGGAGUGGAGGGGCUCUCGGUUCAUAUUUGUUUCUGCAUUGCGUUACUUUUCAUUAGAGUUAUAUUUUUCGUUGUCAUAACUAUCGUUCUCGUUGCCGGAGAGUGUCCUGCAUGUUGAGUCAUUGAAAGCGACACGAUUGUAGCCAUGAGAUGCCCCCAGAGCAGUUGCCGUCGAAGCACUAGUCUAUGAGUCUAGGAUGGCAUCCGAAGCUCUCUAGAGAUACCUGUAUCUUUAGAAUCUUAGCCUUCACUUCGACUGCAACUGUGGGCAUAGUGGGCAACCUACUAACCAAACACGCCACACAACACACACCACCUGCACCACACACCACACACCACACACCACACAUAUGUAACAUAAUACUGUCUGUUGAACUGUGAGGAGCCGAAUACAGCUUAGUCCUUGCCACGAUCGCAUUCACAGUUAGCCGUAGCAAGGACCAAACCGUAUUCGCAACGAUCCCUAAACCAACAAACUAACCAACCACUCAACCACAACCCACCACAGACCACCACCACCAUCCAGACCGAAACACCAUCCAGAAAAAACGGGUACCCGCCGAACGGGUAGGUCCAAUGCCUUGCCAAUAGUGAUUAGUCCUUUGGUAGUGGACACGUCGACUGAGUGUCCUGUUGAACUAGUUGUCUGUGUUGGCUGAUUAUUAGAAACUAUCCCAGACUAUCUAUCGAUAUUUAGUUGUAAUUGUGUGAAUCCCUAAAUUGCGCUUACUAACAAUUUGUAACUCUCUUUUCGAAUUUAAACGUCCGCCCACCCACACCAACGCCAACACCAACACGCCCACAUCUUAACACACACAUCUUGACACUUU